CCUGUGAACAUACCACUUGUUGCCUCGGCGGAUCAGCCCGCUCCCGGUAAAACGGGACGGCCCGCCAGAGGACCCCUAAACUCUGUUUCUAUAUGUAACUUCUGAGUAAAACCAUAAAUAAAUCAAAACUUUCAACAACGGAUCUCUUGGUUCUGGCAUCGAUGAAGAACGCAGCAAAAUGCGAUAAGUAAUGUGAAUUGCAGAAUUCAGUGAAUCAUCGAAUCUUUGAACGCACAUUGCGCCCGCCAGUAUUCUGGCGGGCAUGCCUGUUCGAGCGUCAUUUCAACCCUCAAGCACAGCUUGGUGUUGGGACUCGCGUUAAUUCGCGUUCCCCAAAUUGAUUGGCGGUCACGUCGAGCUUCCAUAGCGUAGUAGUAAAACCCUCGUUACUGGUAAUCGUCGCGGCCACGCCGUUAAACCCCAACUUCUGAAUGUUGACCUCGGAUCAGGUAGGAAUACCCGCUGAACUUAAGCAUAUCA
rnacentral:misc_RNA from 1 species